rnacentral:rRNA from 1 species
CGGACGGGUGGGUAAUGUCUGGGAAACUGCCCGAUGGAGGGGGAUAACUACUGGAAACGGUAGCUAAUACCGCAUAACGUCGCAAGACCAAAGAGGGGGACCUUCGGGCCUCUUGCCAUCGGAUGUGCCCAGAUGGGAUUAGCUAGUAGGUGGGGUAACGGCUCACCUAGGCGACGAUCCCUAGCUGGUCUGAGAGGAUGACCAGCCACACUGGAACUGAGACACGGUCCAG